AAAACAACAUAAAGAAUAGAUCAGAGAGUGACAUAGAAUAUAAUUGAU
rnacentral:guide_RNA from 1 species